rnacentral:rRNA from 1 species
UGGGGAAUAUUGGGCAAUGGGCGCAAGCCUGACCCAGCCACGCCGCGUGAGUGAUGAAGGCCUUCGGGUCGUAAAGCUCUGUGGGGAAGGACGAAAAAACAUUGGCUAAUAUCCAAUGGCUUGACGGUACUUCCUUAGCAAGCACCGGCUAACUCUGUGCCAGCAGCCGCGGUAAUACAGAGGGUGCAAACGUUGCUCGGAAUCAUUGGGCGUAAAGCGCACGUAGGCGGCCUGAUAAGUCGGUAGUGAAAGCCCUCGGCUUAACCGAGGAAGUGCUAUCGAAACUGCCAGGCUUGAGUACCGGAGAGGAUCGCGGAAUUCCCGGUGUAGAGGUGAAAUUCGUAGAUAUCGGGAGGAACACCUGUGGCGAAGGCGGCCACCUGGUUGGAUACUGACGCUGAGACGCGAAAGCGUGGGGAGCAAACAGGAUUAGAUACCCAGGUAGUCCCUGAGCGGGCUGGCAAGGCGCAU